ACAUGAACGGAGAUAAGGAGUAGUAGUCUGCAUAAAUGAGUCCAGAGAGUUGACGGCUGGUGUGAGUCAAUCGAUUUUUGCUGAUGAACUCGCCUUUGAGUACAAAUGUGAAAGCCUCGUUUGGUGAAGUAAUGUUUGUCGUUUAUCCACGUUACGGAUGUCAAAGUGGGCAUGUCACUAUGCCAAAGUUGGGUGGUACCGCGGGAAUUAAACCUCUCGUCCCUGUU
rnacentral:ncRNA from 1 species